AUGAACGCUGGCGGCGUGCCUAAUACAUGCAAGUCGAGCGAUCAGAUGAGGAGCUUGCUCCUCUGACGUUAGCGGCGGACGGGUGAGUAACACGUGGAUAACCUACCUAUAAGACUGGGAUAACUUCGGGAAACCGGAGCUAAUACCGGAUAAUAUAUUGAACCGCAUGGUUCAAUAGUGAAAGACGGUUUUGCUGUCACUUAUAGAUGGAUCCGCGCCGCAUUAGCUAGUUGGUAAGGUAACGGCUUACCAAGGCAACGAUGCGUAGCCGACCUGAGAGGGUGAUCGGCCACACUGGAACUGAGACACGGUCCAGACUCCUACGGGAGGCAGCAAUAGGGAAUCUUCCGCAAUGGGCGAAAGCCUGACGGAGCAACGCCGCGUGAGUGAUGAAGGUCUUCGGAUCGUAAAACUCUGUUAUUAGGGAAGAACAAAUGUGUAAGUAACUAUGCACGUCUUGACGGUACCUAAUCAGAAAGCCACGGCUAACUACGUG
rnacentral:rRNA from 1 species